AUGAACUACUACUCGUCGUCGGCAGCCGCUCGGAGCGCCAUUGGAGCCGCCGGAGGAUUUCAGUGCACGCUUGACAACACCGCACCGCAGUUUGACCACGCGUGGCCUCGAAGGGGCGCCAAAUAUAUCGUUGGUUAUGAAGUGUGGGAUCUGUACCCACUGUUAUCUAACUUUUGCAAAAAGGUCCCGGCAAUUCUGAUUGAUUUUUGCAGACGGGUCACCCCUCUCCCCCAUCCCCUAUCUCUUGCACACUGUGGCGGCGAUCUAGAUCCGGUGGGAUGCCGUCGACUUGCGCAGUCCGUUCACGGUACUCUGGCUCGCAAGUCGUCUGGAUCCGUCUCCCGGGCACCCCCGACGUUGCUCUCCACAUCAACCCAGCAACCGCUACCAAGGUCCACUCCCCCAGGGCACCACCUCGCCUUCAUCGCGCCGGACUACGGCGGGUUUGUAGCCGGCCGGAAGACCCAUAGCACGGACGUGCCCGAGUGGAUGCAGCCUGACGGCCACACGUGCCAGGUCUUCUUCCUCGCCCCCAACGUGGCUGAGAUCCAUCCACCUGAAUAUGUGCCAUCCACCAACGAUCCAAUGGCCCAGGUUCCUUUUUCUAUUUUUGCACCUGUAGCCUAUGUUUUUAAGGCGGUAAGGCGAGGCGAGGCGCUGGGGGGGCGCCUCACCGCCUAA
rnacentral:rRNA from 1 species